rfam:Schistosoma haematobium scaffold425_22, whole genome shotgun sequence.
AUCCAGCUGACAAGUCCUAUGUAGGACGAAACGUCAGUCCUGGAU